UUGACACCGGAAGUGAAUGGCGUACUUGUGCUAUUUUCGAGAACUUCCCUAGAUUACUUAUCUUCUGUUUUAAAGAUUUCUCAGCGGGAUAUAUGAGUUUCCAYUUACGUUUAAUAUAUCGGUAUAUAUCCUAAGUUAACUUAUAUUUUUAYUUAUGUCGAUGCGGUUAGCCUAAGGAGCUGGAGCUAGACUGGAAUAGCCAGCCACGGCACGGACUGUUGACAACGAGGCGAGAAUUCGUGCUGCCAUUUUAGCAAGUGCUACGUGGCGUCCUUAGUUACUUCCAGCAGCAUGGCAGAGGACCACCUCAGGAAAAAACCUAGACUCAGUGAAGGACCCCAAUGUUUCGCAUUUAAUUGCUAUAACUAUCGGAACGCACACUUCAAAGAACGUGGUAUUACGUUUCAUUGUUUCCCAAAACAAGGCAGGGAACCAGACAGAUACAAGCAGUGGGUGAAGGCUUGCCGGAGAAGUGACAGCCUGCCGUCUAAAUGGUCCCUGCUGUGCAGCGACCAUUUCACUGAUGCCGCCAUGGACCGUACAGGACAGACCGUUCGCCUGAGAGAGGGUGCUCUGCCUACUAUAUUUAACUUCCCUGCUCAUCUCAAGAAACGAACGGAGUCAAGGCAAACUAAUCCAAAACGAACCGCAAGGUCCAAAGCUGCAGCAUCUGAUGCCUCCAAAAACAGCGACACUCUCUCUGCUCGUCCUCAGACACAGGCAGAGCCGAGACAGCCCAGGCCGAGACGAACUGCAAGAUCUAAAAGUGCAGCUUUACCCUCGUCUGAUGCUGACGACAGUACUGACCCUGACCCCGCUCGUGUCCAGACUCAGACUGAGCCAAGUCAAACUGCAGCAUUGCCCCCACCUGAUGCUGCCGACACUAAUGAUCCUGCUCAUCUCCAGACACAAACUAAGCCGAGGAGAACUUCGAGAUGUAAAAUUGCAGCGCCGCUGGAUCCCGCUGACAGCAGUGAUGCUGUCCACGUUCAGACACAAACUGAGCCAAGUCAAACAGCAGCAUCUGAAGCUGCAGCAGUGCCGCCGCCUGAUGCUGCAGACUGUGCUGUCACUGCAGUCGGUCUGAAUGCAUCCAACCUUCUCGACGAUCACACGUACUUUCUGGAGAGUCCACGUGGCGCAGCAAAGCUCGUUAAAGACCUCCGACAGCAAAUAAAUGAUCUCCAAAAAGAAYUGAAAAAUGCAGCUGCAAGGGAAAAGAGAGCAAAAUGUUACGCCAAUAAACUGAAAGAACGUAACCAGCUGCUGACGGAGCUGGAAGCUAAAAUGGAAGCUUUUAAAGAUAUUCCAGAGGACCUGUUUUACAAACCCCACAAUCAAUACUCAGAGAAACAGAAGGAGUUUGCACGCACAUUGCACCUUUAUUCACCAAAAGCCUACGACUUUGUCCGAGGGGUUUUGCCCUUGCCUGACCCUCGCUCCCUACGAAGGUGGGUGGAGAGGGACCAAGGAACAGCACCUCAUUCUCCUUCAUCUAGUUGAAGACCUGUGGUGGGCUUUUUACACCRUCUGAAGGUGUAGUCAUCAAAGCGAGGUCAUCUCAUUCUCCRCAGACCACCCGUCYAUCCAUUAUCUACCACUUGCUCCAAAAUCAGUUUGCAGGGGCAGCAGAUCAAAAAGGGAGGUCCAGACYUUUCUUUACACAGUCACCUCUUCCAGAUCUUCUGGGAGGAYUCCAAGGCAUUCCCAUAGUCUCUCCAGUGUGUCCUGGGUCUCUCCUGGGGUCUCCUCCCAGUUGGACAUGGCUGAAGCACCUCUCUAGGGAGGUGUCCGAAGAGCAUCCUUACCAGAUGAACCUCCUCAAYUGGCUGCUCUGGAUGUGGAGGAGCAGCGGCUCUAGUGAAUAACUGAACUUUUCACCUUAUCUGUAAGGGAGAGUCCAGUUACCCUGCAGAGAAAACUCAUUUCAACCUCCURCAWCUGCGACAUUGUUCUUUUGGUCUCUACCCAAAUUUCAUGACCAUAGAUGAGGGUAGGAACGUAGACUGACCAUUAAACAGAGAGCUUCGCCUUACA